UUUGAUAUAAAAGAUGUUUGGGAAAAAUAGAGUAUGGGGAUGAUAAAAGAAUUCAAUGAUUAUAUUUUUGUGUUUAACAUGACCUUCGGACUUGUGCCUACGUACCAACAUAAAAAUGAGGGAUCAAAACCUCGCAGUUCGUAGUAAAAAUUUCAAAGUUGGUGAAUUGCUUUUAACAAAAGUUUAAAUGAAAAGGCACCAAGGGGCUAAAAAUUUAAAUGGGGUUGUUAGUUCUUUUUGUCUUUUUGAAAUUUUAAGUCAAUAUGAUUAAG
rnacentral:lncRNA from 1 species